CCUCCUAUAUAUCACACCAACUCAGCCCAGGUUACCUCCUAUAUAUCACACCAACUCAGCCCAGGUUUACUCCUACAUAUCACACCAACUCAGCCCAGGUCACCUCCUAUAUAUCAGACCAACUCAGCCCAGGUCUUCUCCUAUAAAUCACACCAACUCAGCACAGGUUACCUCCUAUAUAUCACACCAACUCAGCCCAGGUCACCUCCUAUAUAUCACACCAACUCAGCCCAGGUCACCUCCUAUAUAUCACACCAACUCAGCCCAGGUUACCUCCUAUAUAUCACACCAACUCAGCCCAAGUUACCUCCUAUAUAUCACACCAACUCAGCCCAGGUUUAGUCCUAUAUAUCACACCAACUCA
ensembl:lncRNA